UCAGAUGAGUGGGCAGCGUGAUGAGAUACAGACAGAAGCCCCCUCACCUUGCUUUCCAGACUGGUAGCCUUCAGCAGCCCACAGAGAAGCAAGAGAAAAUGAAAGCACCCUUCAAGCGUGUGGACGCAGAGGCACCUGCACACCAAUCAUUCCAAUGAGACGUCACGUACAGCGUGGACAAAAAGAUGCAGAAGAAGAACAGCUCUCAUGCAGGAAAGAGCCAGGAUCGCUGUGAGCGGUCUUGAUGUGACAGGAGACACUGUGGAUCACUGCUGCUUGGGAUUGAUGGCGCGCCAGCGCUAGUUGUAUCUCGCCACAAACUCAAGUAUCACACAACCUACUGUACAUAGAUUUUUUAUUCUGGAUGCUUAAAAAGUGUGUUUGUUGCUAUAAAUAGUGUAUCGCAGUAAGAGUGGAAAUAAAGGCAGCCUUCUACACAAUUUUCAAUUUUGUCUUUGUUUUACCUUGGACAUGAAAUGUCGUCACUUGGCCUGCCGGAGCCAAAUGAGGAUGAUCCACCAGCGGAGGGGCAGGCGAGAUAUGGCGGUGAACCCUCAGCAGGAGGAGCCAUGCCAGGUGUUGUCAUAAUGAGGGCAGUUCCCCCCACAGCAUCACAGUCCCCAAUUAUCACAUCAGGUGGGGUUUGGUUACCGUCCAAGUCCAAGUCGUGCGACACUGGAGCUGGAUGAUCCAAUGUGACCCAUGCAGGUGUCCUACUAACACAUGUACUCAUGUUGCUGUCUUUAGUUCUUAUUUGACUAAGGGUGCUCCUUCUGUACAGCUAAAUACUCUCAGGAUGACAUUAUGGAGCUGCACAACACAAUAGAUUACCGAAAGGCAUAAUCAAUUCCUGGAAUGUUCAGAUUGGUGUGCAAUACAAGGCUGCAACCAGCAGAGGUGCUGUUGAUUCAGUGUCAACGAGCUUACAGUUUGAAAAACUAUAUAUCAGGGGUGUCCAAACUUUUUACACCAAGGGCCGCAGAAAAAUGAAAUGAUGCGGGGGUUCACAUUCAUGUUAUUUUUUAGCCUUUUUAUUUUAUUCAUUCAUUUUCUGUCGCUUCGCUUCGCCUCACUAGGGUCACGGGGGUGUACAACCUGGACUGGCUGCCAGCCAAUCGCAGGGCACAUACGAAUAGCCAAACAACCGUUCACACUCACAUUCAUACAGGGUGUCCCAAAAAAAAUGUAAAUAAUUCUAAACUAGGUGUUUAUUUUAAUUCAUCAAAUGUUCAAAAUAGAAUCUACAAUCCUUUUAUUGUUUUGUCACCGCCUGUUCUCAAACUGGCAUUCGUUCUGGUCCAGACGCUGCUGACAACACGAAGCAAUGGAAUCCCAGACAUCGUGAAACAAUUCCCUUUUGUCUUUGUGUGCAUUCACACUUUAGUUAAGUCCGGCUACUCAUCAUUCAUUUCAGUGGGUUUUAUCUG